AAAGCACCUGGUGGAAUCUCCAUGCUUCUGACAUUUCAAUGAAUCACCAGAAAUUCAAGAGCAUUGUGAAUGGAUCAAAUAAAGAUCAAGUUAUUCACAGCUGAAAAUCAGCAUCACUGAUCAAAAGAACAGUAAGACUGCUGAGGGUCAACAUGGAAUCCGUGAAUGCCUGCAGGACCAACUCUUCAGUUCAAUCAAAGGAACAUGACAGCCUGUAGAGAACUGCAGCUCACUGGUGUGCA